rnacentral:rRNA from 1 species
GAUGAACGCUAGCGGCAGGCCUAACACAUGCAAGUCGAACGGUAACAUAGAUUGCUUGCAAUCUGAUGACGAGUGGCGCACGGGUGCGUAACGCGUAUACAAUCUACCUUACACUGGGGGAUAGCCUUUAGAAAUGAAGAUUAAUACCCCAUGGUCUAUAGAAGUGGCAUCGCUUUUAUAGUAAAGAUUACGGUGUAAGAUGAGUAUGCGUCCUAUUAGUUUGUUGGUGAGGUAACGGCUCACCAAGACGACGAUAGGUAGGGGCCCUGAGAGGGGGAUCCCCCACACUGGUACUGAGACACGGACCAG